rnacentral:rRNA from 1 species
AUGGCGGGCGCGGGUCCCGGCGAGAAGCCGCCGCGGCCUCCUGCUGGGCUGCCGGCGGCGGCGACCGCGGCGCCCGGCGGCGGCGACACCUCCCUUCUCGGCGCAGGCGGGCUGAGUGAUUCGGGGACGGGGGUUCGUGGGGUUGUGGUGAGGAGGGCGCCGCACGAUCGCGUCAUCGGCGAGGAGGAAGAAUCGGGGCGUCCGACGCCGACCGCCUCGGUCACGGGACAGCGCGUGGGCGACGCCGACGAUACCAUCCCUUCUGCGGCGGCGCUGCGCGCCGACACGGCCCGUUUUCUGGCGAACCUCACUGUCGUCGACCAUGCUUCCUCUUCCGCGACGGUCCCCGCGCGCCAGCCCAGCACGGAGGUGGCGCCGACAGCAUCAGAACUGCUCGACCCCAAGUCCAAGGAGUGCCUGCUCGACAUGCGUCCCGACUCGGAGGACCCGCUCUUCACACAGACACAGGUGAGGCCGCGCGGCGACGUCGGCGUGAUCGGCUACAGAAGGCCAGGAAGGGGAGCCGCAGAUGCUCCAGGCGCGGAUUCUGCCGCGACGAUGGCCAUGGUGCCCAGAGCUCUGGGCGCGCAGCUGGAGCGGGCGCCGCAGCCGCACGGCGCACUCCUCCCCUCGCUGUACCAGCCAUCGGGACCAAAGGGGUUCGUGCAACCUGACCGUGACCGCAGGCUCGCCCUCGCCUCCCAUGGGCGCCACAGCAGGGCACCCUCGCCGGCAAACUUGGUCAUGAUAUCGCAAGCUGACGUUGAUCGCGGCUGGGCGGCACUGCAACAGGCGACCAUCGAACGCGACAUGCUCAUCCGCCAGAACCACGACCUUGCUACGGCUCUCCAGGAAGCGGCCGGGCGCACCCAAGGUCUACAGCAAGAAUGUCAGUUCCUCCGCCAAGAGCUGCAACGGCACCAGACGCAGCGCGGCAGCGGCGUGGCCGUCCAGCAUGAGUGCUGGGACUGCUUCUCCAGGCCAGCGGAGGUGGUGGCCGUUCCUUGCCUUCACAAGUGCCUCUGCAAUAGAUGCUACGUCAAGCGCCACACGUGCCCCUACUGCGGCCUUUGUUGGCUUCAUUCUCUUGAGGCCUUGUUCGGUUCCUUCAGAUUUGAAGGGGUUUGGAGGCGAUUGAGAGGGAUUAAAUCCCCCACAAGUCAAAAUCCACCUCAAUCCCCUCCAAUCCUCUCCAAUCCCCUUGUGGGAGGGAGAGGGAUUAACCGAACAAGCAAUGAGUGA